GUGCCAGCAGCCGCGGUAAUACGUAGGUGGCAAGCGUUGUCCGGAUUUAUUGGGUUUAAAGGGUGCGUAGGCGGUUUAUUAAGUCAGUGGUGAAAGACGAUAGCUUAACUAUCGAGGUGCCAUUGAUACUGAUGAACUUGAGUGCACACGAGGUAAGCGGAAUGGACGGUGUAGCGGUGAAAUGCAUAGAUAUCGUCCAGAACACCGAUAGUGAAGACAGCUUACCAGAGUGCAACUGACGCUGAGGCACGAAAGUGUGGGGAUCAAACAGGAUUAGAAACCCCCGUAGUCC
rnacentral:rRNA from 1 species